GACAAAACUCUGUUGGAUUGGUUGUUCCGUAUGCAUGGAUACCUACAAAGGCAUCCUAUUUUCGAUGCCUAAUCUAGAUAUCUGUUCAAGGGACAAAAUUAUGUUGGCUAGGAGGAAUAUAACCUAGUUGCAGGAACCUGCAACAACUCGCAUCACCAACUCCUCUCCGACGUGAUGUUGGUAAGCGAUCUAAUCAAGAUUCAUAUGUACUUGAAUCUUCAAAGUGAUGAUGGAUGACUUGUAAGCGCGAUUUUUUUCUACUAUGUUUCCUAACAUGAUGGACUUUGGUAAGUUUUGUGAGCCAUAGAGUAGCGUGUUAUUGGGUGGGCGAACCCCAAGCCUUUUAAUAUGUCAUAUAGUGAACACCGUAGCUGUGUUUAUGAAUCAAUAAAAUUAGCAUAGCGGUGUUCGCGGACGCCCCAUGAACAUUAUUUGCCUUUGUUUAUUUCUCUGUUUGGUUACACUUUUUUCUUUUUAUGUACAUGUUUCAUUAUUUUUCCCCUUCUAUUUUCAGUAGUUUAUAUCAAUUUUAAGAAAGAACAUGUUUUUAAUACAUGAAUAAUUUUUUUCAAGAUCAUGAACAAUACUGUGUAAAUAUUUUGUUAGUUACAUACACAUUUACAAAAAAUGCAUGAACCCUUUUAGUAUUCCAAUUUUUUUGCCGUGAUUUUAUAAAAUAAAACACUUUACUUUAGAAAAAAUAAAUUAAUAUAUACAGAGAAAAAAAUAAAUAAAAACACCAAAGAAAAGAAAAGGAAGGGAAAGACAGGCCCAUGGGCGACGGCUCGCAUAAAUAUAGCCCACUCGUCCGCCCGCCCGGGUCGUCUUCUCUCUUCUUCCCUCUGAGAGUUCACUUGCCCUGCGUCGGGAUGGAGGCCUACAUCGAGAAGCUUUUUUCUCCGAUGAGGUCGUGGCCGAGUGCUCCAGCUCCUCCUUCUGCAGUUUCUGUCGGUGUUCUGUCUGCAGCAGUUGCUGCCCGAACCACGGGGUGUUCCACCCCGACCCGCAUGCGCACACGGCAGCCGAGGCGCCGUAUUUUCAGGUAUGCCAGAAACCAAGAAACGCCAUGAACAUUGCUUUAGUUCUCCCGCGUGUAGACCUAUGUCGUAGGUGGGUCUGCUUCUAUUUCAUAUCGAGACGUCAGAGCGCACGGCCUCGGAUUCGAUUGGACUAGGAUACAUCGGGUUCCCGGCGAUGAUGACAAGUUCGUCGUCCUCAGGCCACAUGAUUUCAACCGAAGGUGGAGGACACGCUGCAUUAUCUGCGGUGACAAGAUCGCGUCGGGCAAGGGUAACCAGUAUUGCAGCCCCUUUUGCAAGCUCGAUUCCAUUGACAAUGGAGGAGGUAGAGAUAUUGUUCAGCGAGAGCGGAUAUGCAAGGUGUGCACGCUGGCAUACUCCUCGGCCCAUUGUCCGGGCCACCACCUCCAUCACCGCGGUGAUGAUACUGAGAUACUGCAUGUGAUUCAUCUGGAGGGGCGAAUAUCCUUGUCCCGGAGCAUUAGCUCCUUGGAGUUUUGACAGAGGGUGUAAUGCGUGUGGCUGUGGAGGGGGAGCUGUGGGUGCUUGUUCGACCCCGGCAACUGCUACCUCCUGCCCCUGUACCACCGUAGGAGUGCGCCCGUCACGGCUGCUUCCAGCCCGUGGAUGUUCAAGGCCAGGCUUGCAGCCUUGUGUGCAAGGAGACUGAUGACUGAGCUUGGACGCAGGGGACGGGUCUAAGAAACCAGUGCGUGAACACGACUCAGAGAUUUAGAUUCAGGCUUAGAUAGGAUUAUAACGAUUGAACUCAGAGUUUUGGCAUUGUGAAUCGAAACUCUUGCUUGCUGAGUUAAGUGGGAAUUUCUGAAAUAAUUCUGGGAUGUUUUCUGUGAAAGUUUUAUAUUCAGAGCAA